rnacentral:rRNA from 1 species
UACGUAGGGUGCGAGCGUUGUCCGGAAUUACUGGGCGUAAAGAGCUCGUAGGUGGUUUGUCGCGUUGUCCGUGAAAACUCACAGCUUAACUGUGGGCGUGCGGGCGAUACGGGCAGACUGGAGUACUGCAGGGGAGACUGGAAUUCCUGGUGUAGCGGUGGAAUGCGCAGAUAUCAGGAGGAACACCGGUGGCGAAGGCGGGUCUCUGGUCUGUAACUGACGCUGAGGCGCGAAAGCGUGGGGAGCAAACAGG